GGCUGAUUGUUCAGGCAAAUCCGGAUAAUCAAGGCUGAGGUGUGAUGACGAGGCACUACGGUGCUGAAGUAACAAAUGCCCUGCUUCCAGGAAAAGCCUCUAAGCAUCAGGUAACAUUAAAUCGUACCCCAAACCGACACAGGUGGUCAGGUAGAGAAUACCAAGGCGCUUGAGAGAACUCGGGUGAAGGAACUAGGCAAAAUGGUGCCGUAACUUCGGGAGAAGGCACGCUGGUGUGUAGGUGA
rnacentral:rRNA from 1 species